UGUGUAGGCGGUGGGAAAAGUUUGAUGUGAAAUCUCCGGGCUCAACCCGGAAAAUGCAUUGAAUACUAUUCCACUAGAGGAUCGGAGGGGAGACUGGAAUUCUCGGUGUAGCAGUGAAAUGCGUAGAUAUCGAGAGGCACAUCAGUGGCGAAGGCGAGUCUCUGGACGAUUCCUGACGCUGAGGCACGAAAGCUAGGGGAGCGAACAGGAUUAGAUACCCUGGUAGUCC
rnacentral:rRNA from 1 species